CAAAAACAUGUCCUUUUGUAUUUAAAUAUAAGGUCUAACCUGCCCAAUGAAUAUUGUUUAAUGGCCGCGGUAUAUUAACUGUGCUAAGGUAGCAUAAUCAUUUGUCUUUUAAUUAAAGGCUAGAAUGAACGGUUGGACGAGAUAUAUACUUUCUUUAGUUUAAUUUAUGAAUUUAAUUUUUUGGUUAAAAAGCUAAAAUUUAUUUGAGGGACGAGAAGACCCUAUAGAUCUUUAUAUAUUUAAUUUUUAUAUAUUUUGGUAAAUAAAUUAUUUUAAUAAUUGUGUAUAUUUGAUUGGGGUGAUUGUAGAAUAAAAUUAACUUCUAUUUUAUAUUAUCAUUAAUUAAUGUUUAAUUGAUCCAAUUUUUUUGAUUAUAAGAUUAAGUUACCUUAGGGAUAACAGCGUAAUUCUUUUGGAGAGCUCAUAUCGAUAAAAGAGUUUGCGACCUCGAUGUUGGAUUAAAAUAAGUCUUGGGUGUAGCAGCUAAAGAACUAGGUCUGUUCGACCUUUAAUUUUUUACAUGAUCUGA
rnacentral:rRNA from 1 species